AUUUCUGUUAAUCGAUGUUGUAAAACAAGAAGAUGUUAGUGUGAAUUAUUUUCAUUGAAGAAUGGUAGAGAUUUAUACAGAAAGUGUUCCUGAAUGCGCUCCUACAAUUACGUAAUUACACCUAUAAUUGAGGUAUAUACAAGGUAAAGUUAUAUACAGAGAAUCAAACACCCAGCAAUUGCUCUUUUUGAUUCCUGAACUUUAGAGAUAUCAUUGUUGUCAUAUCAUUGACUUGUCAACAAAGGUGAGGUCUUCCUCUGUAAACUACUCAGAAAUAAGAGGAUUUCAUAUUGCAAUUCUGAAUGUAGUUCUAUAGAGCUAUAUGAAGAUUUCAUCUAUCCAAUUUUCCUG
rnacentral:misc_RNA from 1 species